UCCUGAAUGAUGGGAAAUGUGUCCUCUGC
rnacentral:piRNA from 1 species